rnacentral:tRNA from 1 species
GGGGCCGUGGUCUAGCAUGGUCUAUGACUCCGCAAAAUCACUGCGGGGUAGAACACUCCAGCCUGGGGCGCUGGAAAUCCUGGGUUCGAAUCCCAGCGGCCCCA